AGUCGAGCGGCAAGGUCUUCGGACCCUAGAGCGGCGCACGGGUGAGUAACGCGUACGCAAUCUGCCCUUCAGUGAGGAAUAGCCCUGGGAAACUGGGAUUAAUACCUCAUAACAUUAUUUGUCUGCAUGGAUGAAUAAUUAAAGUUCUGGCGCUGAAGGAUGAGCGUGCGUCUGAUUAGCUAGUUGGUAGGGUAACGGCCUACCAAGGCGACGAUCAUUAGGGGGUGUGAGAGCAUGACCCCCCACACGGGUACUGAGACACGGACCCGACUCCUACGGGAGGCAGCAGUAAGGAAUAUUGGACAGUGGUCGGAAGACUGAUCCAGCCAUGCCGCGUGAAGGACGAAGGCGCUCUGCGUUGUAAACUUCUUUUGGACAGGAACAAAACCAUCCCUGCGGGGGUGUCUGAGGGUACUGUCAGAAUAAGCACCGGCUAACUCCGUGCCAGCAGCCGCGGUAAUACGGAGGGUGCAAGCGUUAUCCGGAAUCACUGGGUUUAAAGGGUGCGUAGGCGGUUUUUUAAGUCAGUUGUGAAAUUCCCUCGCUUAACGAGUGGGACUGCGAUUGAUACUGAAGAACUUGAAUCAGGUUGAGGUAGGCGGAAUGUGACAUGUAGCGGUGAAAUGCAUAGAUAUGUCAUAGAACACCGAUUGCGAAGGCAGCUUGCUGG
rnacentral:rRNA from 1 species